CGUUCCCAGGCGGCCGCGGGACGGGCUUCCGGAGCGCGGUGCGUUGUGGACUUUGUAGUCUCGCGGGGCAGGGCCCCCGCCUUGCGCGCCGUCCGGGAAGGCAGCCGGACUACAUCUCCCUCCCGCCCGCGCGGUGUCGCGAGGCGGCCCGGCGCGAGGCGUUCGCGAGCGGAGAGUCUCCAAGAUGGCCGCGUGGGGAAGGAGGCGUCUCGGCCCGGGAAGCGGCGGUGGCGGCGCUCGAGAGAGGGUGAGCCUGUCAGCCACAGACUGUUACAUUGUGCACGAGAUCUACAACGGGGAGAACGCCCAAGACCAGUUUGAGUACGAGCUGGAGCAGGCCCUGGAAGCCCAGUACAAGUACAUCGUGAUCGAGCCCACCCGCAUCGGGGACGAGACGGCCCGCUGGAUCACUGUGGGCAACUGCCUGCACAAGACCACCGUGCUGGCAGGCACCGCCUGCCUCUUCACCCCGCUGGCGCUGCCCCUGGAUUACUCCCACUACAUCUCCCUGCCCGCAGGCGUGCUGAGCCUGGCCUGCUGCACCCUCUACGGCAUCUCCUGGCAGUUUGACCCCUGCUGCAAGUACCAGGUGGAGUACGACGCCUACAGACUGUCGCGCCUGCCCCUGCACACACUCACCUCGUCCACCCCGGUGGUGCUGGUCCGGAAGGACGACUUGCACAGAAAGAGACUGCACAACACGAUAGCGCUGGCGGCCCUGGUGUACUGUGCCAAGAAGAUCUACGAGCUCUGCGCCGUAUGACCGCGCCGCGCCACGCCGUGAGCGGCCAGCCAGGGAGGCAUCUGGCGUCGCGGCUGUUAUUGUAGAGAGAUAACAGCAUCAAGGCUGUCCUGCUGUGGACCCUGAGUUCAACCUGCUGCCCCAGGCUGAGGGAAGACUCCCCUCGUCUUCCACCAAAGAGGGGGCCCUGCCGGCCCAAGACUCUGCUCGGGCCACCCUGAGGGCACAUGUGUGAGUGACACCUGGAGUUUCAGAGGGUCCCUUGGGAAGGUCAGAUACCAGAGUGAGAAGGGGUACAGGGGAGGCAUCAGGGUGCGUGGGAUAGCGGGGCCAUUUGUUUACAGGGAGAGCGCCAAAGAUUUUAGAACAGUUAGAGAAACUCUGACUUAAUUCCAGAGGCCUGGGAAUGCUAGUCUGCAGCUGGGUGGCAUAUGGUCCACAGGUAACCUGGCAAUGACUUAGGCCUCCUGUCCACCGUGCAAUGCCUACCACCCCCCUGAGCCUGUGGGGUGGGAACAGGGUGGGGGCCAGAUCUGGAAAGGGAGCUUGGCUCUGCCUGUAGACCACAUUCAGGGGAGGUGGCCAGAGGCAGACAAACAGCGGCCACCUCAGGGCAGCUGAGCAGAAGCUGUCACUGAAACAAGCCUGGUGCAGGAGGGCAGCUCCAACACACUGGACGGGGAGGCCAGUCACAUGCUGACAAUUUGCUGCACUGACCAAGACACUGGGGGCCCCGUAAACAGUGUGAAG